GACGAACGCUGGCGGCGUGCUUAACACAUGCAAGUCGAACGGAAAGGCCCAGCUUUUGUGGGGUACUCGAGUGGCGAACGGGUGAGUAACACGUGAGUAACCUGCCCUUGACUUUGGGAUAACUUCAGGAAACUGGGGCUAAUACCGGAUAGGAGCUCCUGAUGCAUGGUGGGGGUUGGAAAGUUUCGGCGGCUGGGGAUGGACUCGCGGCUUAUCAGCUUGUUGGUGGGGUAGUGGCUUACCAAGGCAUUGACGGGUAGCCGGCCUGCGAGGGUGACCGGCCACAUGGGGACUGAGAUACGGCCCAGACUCUUACGGGAGGCAGCGGUGGGGAAUAUUGCACAAUGGGCGGAAGCCUGAUGCAGCAACGCCGCGUGCGGGAUGACGGCCUUCGGGUUGUAAACCGCUUUCGCCUGUGACGAAGCGUGAGUGACGGUAAUGGGUAAAGAAGCACCGGCUAACUACGUG
rnacentral:rRNA from 1 species